GUGAAGUGGGACACUGGUGAUUGGAGUAAAAGGGAACUGGUGGCGACAUGGUUUUUGCCCAUAGAAUUGACAGGUCACGCAAUGCUGCCUGGCACUCAAGUAGGCCGGCCCACCAAGGGCAGAGAACAAUGCUUCAGGGUUUUUUGCCGGAUCCUAAUGCCCUGAGCAAUAGAUCAAGUUCAUCAGGAUAGGACCUAAAAAGUUGGACUUCCCUGAGGAGAGUUAGGAGGCCUUGUUCUAUGCAAAGGUAGGCUGGCCCCAUCUACAUCUUAAUUAACAACUGUCAUAUGCCAAUAUCUCAUAUAGAACUAGGUCCUUGGUUUAAUAUUUUUGGAUAAGCGUGUCAAAUGAUUGAUAUACAAAAAUUCCCAUACACUUUAACGGUGCUUUCUGCAGAUAAAUCAUUUGAAAAGCAGUUUUUUUUUUCUAACAGAUUGUGAUCAUCUGAAAUGCUGAUUCAAAUGAAUAAAAUUGAUGCUAGGUUCUGAUACCAAGCAAACAUAACUAAACCAUGGGAAUUUAUUAAUAUACUCUGCGCAAUACUCUGACAAGCUGCUUGAUGGUGACUCUCAACAGCUAUCUGUAGCUAGUAUGGUUCAAUGAAUUUCCUAAACAAGUCUGCCUUCAGGAGAAGACAUCAGAGAUUAUGUAAAAAGUGUAAUUCUGGUUCUAAGAAGAGUCAGUCAG